UAUUUGCUACUAUUUUUUUUUAAGUAAGUUUGUCACGCUCCGAAACCCGGCUCUUUGGUCGGAUUCGGCGCGCCAACAGACAGCCGAACGGAUAGAGUUUUUCCUAUCUGCCCAAGGUGUCACAACAGUACAAUUCAAGUGGUUCCAAACAGAAAUAAAAUUUAUACACGCAUUGCAUAAGGAAGGCAUCAUAAACAUAGAUACUACGCUAUUACAAGCAUUCGUCUCAUUUCAUAUUAUAUUUACAUUAUUUUCUUCUAAAUACAAUCAAUUUUAUUACAAUUUUGUUUCUUCCUCUCUGUACUCCUAAGCUAUGCUGACCCAGAAUACAUCUAUCUCUGGUCUCAACUGGUAGGGCGCUAUUUACCGAGCUACACCCUUUCCUCGCGCCGCCAUGCCGCUUACGUGUGGAUCUGAAAAAUAUAAGGUUAAGAAUUAUAAAUAUAAUUCCCAGUGGGUACGACCACCCAAGGGAAGAGCUCGACCCACCAAGUCGAAAGGAGGCAAUAUAAACAAGUUAGUCCAACAUAUAACAUAUAAUUCAACUUUAUACAAUUAAAUAAAAAUCAUGCUUAUGCCUCACAAAAUACGAUAUGAAAUCCAUGCAAGUAGAUCUACCAUUUCUAUUUUCUAUUUAACAAUCCAUUAUAUUCACAAUCCGCUUCUAAGAUUUUUUUACCUUAGUCAAGCUAUACCAUCCGACUCGGUCUUAAAUCAAUUAUCAGCAGACUACUGCUCAU
rnacentral:lncRNA from 1 species